GUAUUUUUAUUUUCUAUACCUAUGGUCUCUAAUAGAAUGAACUAGAAUGGUUAUAAUAUUAUUUAAUGCGCAUGCGUAUAUUGCUCCGAAUAUAUUCCAACUGUUAUCGAAGAUGCCCGAUGGUUGUGCAGCUCAUUUUAUCUUUAAAAUAUGUAAGGGAAAUCAUUUCUUACUGUAGUUUAGUCGUGGACGGUAGUCGAAACAAUCGACGUGAAAUCUACAAAAAUCUGCAGUUUAGGUAAUCGAAUAAAACCAACGAACGAGCAGUUUACAGAAAUUGCUGGAUACAAAUACUAUUUCUCCUAUAACAGAUCUGUUUUGCAAUUAUAAAAUGCUUAUUUAAAUGAAUGAUCUUGUAAAUUGCAAAAUACCAUACACUAUACUAGUAAAGAAAGAAAUAUGCGAAUCAUUUAAUAGCUAUUUACGAGGUAAAUUUUCUAAAUUCGUUUUUAGCCGACGCGGAGUAAAAGCAAAAUUACCAUAUCGUUUGGAUACUACGAACAAAAUGGGCCACCGAAUUGUAUAAGUUAUUAAAAAGGAAGAUUCGGAAAUUUUAAAUAAAAAAUAUAAAAAUCCUGUAGCUAUUCCGUANUUAAAAUGUAUAACAAAUUUGUGUGCCAAAUUACCAGUCCUGGAGUCAACAAACAGAUCGGAAACCAUAUUAUUGACUUUAUCAUCUGUCCAGAUGCAAGUCUAGAGGAGACAUUUUCUUCUAAUCCAGCGAGAGAGUAUGGCAUAACAAGAGGUGAGAUAAAGGUGAGACCAAAAGUGUAUACUUCUUAAAAGGCUCUUUUAAAAAUGUUUUUAUAAAUAUUCACAUCUGAGAAAAACUUAAAGAAGAAGGAUACGUUCUAAUUCCGUUUAACGAAAUAGUAAUAAUAGUCUUCUCGACGGAAGAAACUUUUUAUAACAUUUAAUACUAAUGGAGUUACUACAUUUAAUGUAAUUCGCUGGCAAAGGUGGAAAAUGUUUAAUUUUUUUUAGAAGUAUUACGAGAUAUGUAUGAUUUACCUUUUAACCCGUCAGUGGUCGCGAUAAUUUGUGUAACAUCGUUGGGCGCAUGUGAGCGUGGCGCUCUUUACACCUGUUUUGCCAAUUUUGAAUGUAAUUUUUGUUAGUAUGAAUAAAUUAAAUAUCAUAAAUUCAAGUUUGUGGUUGUCGAUAAACAGUGUCGGCGUUGGGAUAAAUACCGGACAAAUCGGAAUUAGUCAUAAUUGGAAUAAAACAAAUACGUCACAGAAACAAAUUUCGUUACAUAUUGCAUUCUAUUCAUAUAGAUUUAAAU